AUUGAACGCUGGCGGCAUGCCUUACACAUGCAAGUCGAACGGCAGCACGGGAGCAAUCCUGGUGGCGAGUGGCGAACGGGUGAGUAAUAUAUCGGAACGUGCCCAGUCGUGGGGAUAACGUAGCGAAAGCUACGCUAAUACCGCAUACGAUCUAUGGAUGAAAGCGGGGGAUCGCAAGACCUCGCGCGAUUGGAGCGGCCGAUAUCAGAUUAGGUAGUUGGUGAGGUAAAGGCUCACCAAGCCGACGAUCUGUAGCUGGUCUGAGAGGACGACCAGCCACACUGGGACUGAGACACGGCCCAGACUCCUACGGGAGGCAGCAGUGGGGGAAUUUUUGGACAAUGGGCGCAAGCCUGAUCCAGCAAUGCCGCGUGCAGGAUGAAGGCCUUCGGUUGGUU
rnacentral:rRNA from 1 species